ACGCACGCUGGCGGCGUGCCUAAUACCUGCAAGUAGGACGCACAGUUUAUACCGUAGCUUGCUACACCAUAAACUGUGAGUUGCGAACGGGUGAGUAACGCGUAGGUAACCUGCCUGGUAGCGGGGGAUAACUAUUGGAAACGAUAGCUAAUACCGCAUAAUAUUGAUUAUUGCAUGAUAAUUGAUUGAAAGAUGCUAUUGCAUCACUACCAGAUGGACCUGCGUUGUAUUAGCUAGUAGGUGAGGUAACGGCUCACCUAGGCGACGAUACAUAGCCGACCUGAGAGGGUGAUCGGCCACACUGGGACUGAGACACGGCCCAGACUCCUACGGGAGGCAGCAGUAGGGAAUCUUCGGCAAUGGACGAAAGUCUGACCGAGCAACGCCGCGUGAGUGAAGAAGGUUUUCGGAUCGUAAAGCUCGGUUGUAAGAGAAGAACGGGUGUGAGAGUGGAAAGUUCACACUGUGACGGUAUCUUACCAGAAAGGGACGGCUAACUACGUG
rnacentral:rRNA from 1 species